GCAGGGAGCGGGGUGGAUUUGACCUGGGAAUGUUGCCAGGAAGUUACAUUGGGGAUGAGAAGGAAGCUACCUGAGCUAGGGGUGCAGGGGUGAGACAAG